rnacentral:rRNA from 1 species
UACGUAGGGGGCAAGCGUUAUCCGGAUUUACUGGGUGUAAAGGGAGCGCAGGCGGCGUGGCAAGUCAGAUGUGAAAACCCGGGGCCCAACCCCGGGAGUGCAUUUGAAACUGCCAUGCUGGAGUGCCGGAGAGGUAAGCGGAAUUCCUAGUGUAGCGGUGAAAUGCGUAGAGAUUAGGAAGAACACCAGUGGCGAAGGCGACUUACUGGACUGUAACUGACGCUGAGGCAUGAGAGCAUGGGGAGCAAACAGG